CCUUGACAUCCAGAGAACUUAGCAGAGAUGCUUUGGUGCCUUCGGGAACUUUGAGACAGGUGCUGCAUGGCUGUCGUCAGCUCGUGUUGUGAAAUGUUGGGUUAAGUCCCGNAACGAGCGCAACCCUUAUCCUUUGUUGCCAGCGGUUCGGCCGGGAACUCAAAGGAGACUGCCGGUGAUAAACCGGAGGAAGGUGGGGAUGACGUCAAGUCAUCAUGGCCCUUACGGCCAGGGCUACACACGUGCUACAAUGGCGCAUACAAAGAGAAGCGACCUCGCGAGAGCAAGCGGACCUCAUAAAGUGCGUCGUAGUCCGGAUUGGAGUCUGCAACUCGACUCCAUGAAGUCGGAAUCGCUAGUAAUCGUAGAUCAGAAUGCUACGGUGAAUACGUUCCCGGGCCUUGUACACACCGCCCGUCACACCAUGGGAGUGGGUUGCAAAAGAAGUAGGUAGCUUAACCUUCGGGAGGGCGCUUACCACUUUGUGAUUCAUGACUGGGGUGAAGUCGUAACAAGGUAGGCGUAGCGAG
rnacentral:rRNA from 1 species